AUGGCCGCGCCGCCGGCUAGGGCCCGCGCCGACUACGACUACCUCAUCAAGCUCCUCCUCAUCGGCGACAGCGGUGUUGGCAAGAGUUGCCUCCUCCUACGGUUCUCUGAUGGCUCCUUCACUACUAGUUUUAUUACUACAAUAGGUAUUGACUUCAAGAUAAGAACAAUUGAACUGGAUGGCAAGCGCAUUAAGUUGCAAAUUUGGGAUACAGCCGGUCAAGAGCGAUUCAGGACUAUCACGACAGCAUACUACCGGGGAGCCAUGGGAAUCUUGCUUGUUUAUGAUGUCACGGAUGAGUCAUCUUUCAACAACAUACGGAACUGGAUACGCAACAUUGAGCAACAUGCCUCUGAUAAUGUGAACAAAAUUUUGAUAGGCAACAAGGCUGAUAUGGAUGAGAGUAAAAGGGCUGUUUCUACUGCAAAGGGACAAGCAUUAGCGGAUGAAUAUGGCAUCCAGUUCUUUGAAACUAGUGCCAAGACAAACCUCAAUGUGGAGCAAGUUUUCUUUUCCAUUGCCCGAGAUAUUAAGCAGAGGCUUGCUGAGACUGAUUCCAAGCCCGAGGUAAAGGACCGGACGAUCAAGAUUAACAAGACAGAAGGUUCUGAGAAUCCAGAAUCUCAGAAAUCUGCCUGCUGUGGCUCAUGA
rnacentral:rRNA from 1 species